UUUAUUAUAUAUGUAUAUAUAUAUUUUAUAUUCAUUUAUGAUUUUGUUACACAAUAAUCAGACAAUUAACAGUGGACAAUUGUUCCAGUGAGUGAUUUCCCAGAGUUCUUCAACAAUUACCGGUAAAAAUUCCAUUCUUUCUAAUCAUAAUUUAUAAAUUAAUUACUCGAAAUUUUACCGCGGUCAUACGAUUCCACAUUCCCAGCGAAUCAAACCGGAAAUACUAUCAGUGAAUCGAUCAAUUGAUCGAUAAUCAAUUGACUGGAAUCAAUCAAUCACUGGAACGAGUACUUUAUUUAUUCAUUUCUUCCAUAAUACGUAAUAGUUUUACAUUAUCUAUCUACACUCUAGUCACAGUAGAUAUUCACUCAUUACGCUAUCUACGUGUACCUCAAAUUACGUAACGUGUAUUUUUAUUUAAUCAUUAAUUUUAUUUAUUUUAUUACAUUUUUCAUUAAACUUAUUUAAUCACUGAAAUUCCUCUCUGUUAAUUGUACGGUAAUACAAUCAAUGGAAGCCCUCGGCAUUCAAGGUAUGUCCACCACUGGCACCUGCAUUGCACAUCUCUCCACACAUCAGACAGAAAAUAAAUGAGACAUCAAACUGAAUGUAGAAUUAAAAAUAAACUCGUCCAUCAGCACCAGCGGGCAUUGAACAGUAAGUAGAAGUGAAUAUAGGUAAUAAAUGUACUUGACAUUUGGAUGAUUUUUUUUUUUUUUCACUAUUCGAUCUCCCUUUAUUCUCCCACUUCAAACGACAAUUCAAUUCAAUCUCUUUGUUCACACUUGAAUAUAUUUAUAUUCGUAAUGUUCAAUAGAAUAAAAUCGCGUAUUCCAUUUGUUUUUUUAAAUAAUCAUUUUUGUCUGAAAACACCGAAAGCUUUACCCUAGUUUUUAUUUAUUCAUUUAUUUUUUCUAUUUACUGAAUUUUUUUGGUUAUCGUUUAUCAACGAUUUUCCCUCUCUCGUGGGUACAGCGUAACGAGGACAAUUAGUUUAAUUGGUAAUAAUUACUUUCGUACGCAGCAAAAGGUACACUUUGUAGAUUCACCUCUUCGUCAUUAAGUAUUUUGCCUCGACCUCCAUUUUGUUCGUAAUUCAGGUAAUUGUUGAUUAUUUGUUUUGCUCCAGAGGAGAGAGUGGAAUUUUUAAAAGAAUAAAUCAUCAGAGAAAAUGUCAGAAGCUUUUUUCAUGAACAACUGAGUGUAAUUUUUCAUCUCUAAUCAUUUCUCUAGUAUUUUUUCUUUGACUCUGGAUAUUAUUUAAAAAAUUCCACAAUAUCUCCUCAAUUUUCACAUCUCUCUGUUCACAAUUCGCCGUUUUAGGCAUUUAAACACUCAAGCGAAUGAAAAACAUCUAAACAAAGUUAAAGUUAUCAACUACACAAAUACAACGAUAAACAAUUCGCAAUAAACAUUACAAUAAUUACAAAAUCAAUUACGAAGUUAUUGAGUUUUAAAUGUAUUAAUGCUGAUAAUUAAUGCACAGGUUCAAUCAAUCGUCAAUAACAACGAUUGACGAUCGAUUCCGAUAAUAAACUACCCCUGAAUGUUAUUAAACAAUCGGCGAUAAUUAUUCAAUGAUUAUUUCAUAAAACUUGUCUCUCUAAAUUAAUUUAUCGCACGAUAGGAACAAAAAUGGAGCGUUUUAUCAUUAACUUUUUAUCACAAUAAAAAAUAAAAUAAAACAAUAAAUAAAAUUGAUGAAA